GGCACCCAACGCACCGGUGCCCGGGUGCAUCCAUCUACAGCGAGGUGCAGACGAGCCGCACCGCGCACACACUGCCCCUCCCCUUCGUCCUCCGUCCUCCGCUCCCACUUCACGCUCGCCGACGAGCCGACCAGCACUACCGCUGGAAGCCCCGACGAGAUAGCCAAGCUGUUCUCCAGCCUGCACGGCCGUGCUGCCGUCGGCCGAGCCGGUCGCGACGAAGCCGCUCAAGAUCGGCGUUGUGCUUCCCGGUGGCCAGGUUCCAGGGGGACAAUUGAUCAGCAUCUUUGAUUACCUGCAGGAGGAUGCCAAAGGCAGCAUCAUGUAUGGAUUAAGGGAGGCCCGGCUGGUGUCAUGAAGGGCAACUACGUCGAGCUGACUGCUGAUUUCGUGUACCCCUACAGAAAUCAGGUAUGUCAGCAUAACCUUUACUAAGCACGCCUACUGAAAUUUCAAUGUUUCAUAUAGAAUUUUGUUAUAACCAUUUGCAAAACUGCAAGUGGCUCACCAGUAGAGAUUUUGUUAAGGUACUUCCAUGAAUUAACAGAUGCUAUUUUUUUCUCUUGAAGUAUCCUUGUGUGUAAGAAAUUUCUGAGCAUAAGCAUGACAAAUAUAUGAUGGAUACAUACAGUUUUGUGGGUAAUCUGAAUUACUAUUUCAUGCACUGGACUGACAUUACAUGAAUGAUCAUGUAGUACAAUGAGAACUGGUAAAUUCAAGGAUGAAUAGUGCUAUUCUGAUUUAUCUCCACUUCUCCAUAUAGUCUGUUUUAGCCUCUUUACUGUAAUCGGACAGGGAGUCUUUCCAUUUGUGUGUCUUCAAUGAGAAUCUUGAACACAUCUAUGUUAGUUUAGAUUAUAUUAUUUCUUAACUCCAUUUUGUGUUGCAAUCUGCUGCUAUUUUUACGGAUGGAUUGAACUGAAUACUACUAAUAUUUUUAUUAUUUCAGUCGUCAGAGAUUCAGAAUUCUUGUUGUAUCAUGGAUGUACUACCAGAGAUGGUAAAUGCUUUAGA